CGAAUCAAGGGAAGCGUGCCGGUGCAGGCAAGAGACCACCGUAAGCGUCGUUGCAACCAAUUAAGCGCCGAUUCACAUCAGCGCGACUACGCUCUCGCUGCCUAAGCGACGGCUAGUCUGUCAGACCGGGAACGCCCUCGGCCCGGACCCUGGCAUCAGCUAGAGGGAUCAACCGUUACGUCCGGUCGCGGGACGUGACGGGACACCACACAGCGACUGGGAUCGUCAUCCCGGCUGGUCCGCGUGACCGGGAGAUCCGAGUAGAGACCUAGCGGACUGCGCACGGAGAAGCCUUGAGGGCAGGCC
rnacentral:misc_RNA from 1 species